GAUGAACGCUGGCGGCGUGCCUAAUACAUGCAAGUCGAGCGAACGGACGAGAAGCUUGCUUCUCUGAUGUUAGCGGCGGACGGGUGAGUAACACGUGGAUAACCUGCCUAUAAGACUGGGAUAACUUCGGGAAACCGGAGCUAAUACCGGAUAACAUUUUGAACCGCAUGGUUCAAAAGUGAAAGACGGUCUUGCUGUCACUUAUAGAUGGAUCCGCGCUGCAUUAGCUAGUUGGUAAGGUAACGGCUUACCAAGGCAACGAUGCAUAGCCGACCUGAGAGGGUGAUCGGCCACACUGGAACUGAGACACGGUCCAGACUCCUACGGGAGGCAGCAGUAGGGAAUCUUCCGCAAUGGGCGAAAGCCUGACGGAGCAACGCCGCGUGAGUGAUGAAGGUCUUCGGAUCGUAAAACUCUGUUAUUAGGGAAGAACAUAUGUGUAAGUAACUGUGCACAUCUUGACGGUACCUAAUCAGAAAGCCACGGCUAACUACGUGCCAGCAGCCGCGGUAAUACGUAGGUGGCAAGCGUUAUCCGGAAUUAUUGGGCGUAAAGCGCGCGUAGGCGGUUUUUUAAGUCUGAUGUGAAAGCCCACGGCUCAACCGUGGAGGGUCAUUGGAAACUGGAAAACUUGAGUGCAGAAGAGGAAAGUGGAAUUCCAUGUGUAGCGGUGAAAUGCGCAGAGAUAUGGAGGAACACCAGUGGCGAAGGCGACUUUCUGGUCUGUAACUGACGCUGAUGUGCGAAAGCGUGGGGAUCAAACAGGAUUAGAUACCCUGGUAGUCCACGCCGUAAACGAUGAGUGCUAAGUGUUAGGGGGUUUCCGCCCCUUAGUGCUGCAGCUAACGCAUUAAGCACUCCGCCUGGGGAGUACGACCGCAAGGUUGAAACUCAAAGGAAUUGACGGGGACCCGCACAAGCGGUGGAGCAUGUGGUUUAAUUCGAAGCAACGCGAAGAACCUUACCAAAUCUUGACAUCCUUUGACAACUCUAGAGAUAGAGCCUUCCCCUUCGGGGGACAAAGUGACAGGUGGUGCAUGGUUGUCGUCAGCUCGUGUCGUGAGAUGUUGGGUUAAGUCCCGCAACGAGCGCAACCCUUAAGCUUAGUUGCCAUCAUUAAGUUGGGCACUCUAAGUUGACUGCCGGUGACAAACCGGAGGAAGGUGGGGAUGACGUCAAAUCAUCAUGCCCCUUAUGAUUUGGGCUACACACGUGCUACAAUGGACAAUACAAAGGGCAGCGAAACCGCGAGGUCAAGCAAAUCCCAUAAAGUUGUUCUCAGUUCGGAUUGUAGUCUGCAACUCGACUACAUGAAGCUGGAAUCGCUAGUAAUCGUAGAUCAGCAUGCUACGGUGAAUACGUUCCCGGGUCU
rnacentral:rRNA from 1 species